rnacentral:rRNA from 1 species
CCUACGGGAGGCAGCAGUGAGGAAUAUUGCGCAAUGGGCGAAAGCCUGACGCAGCGACACCGCGUGGGCGACGAAGGCCUUCGGGUUGUAAAGCCCUUUUGGCAGGGACGAGUGAGGACGGUACCUGCCGAAUAAGUCUCGGCUAACUACGUGCCAGCAGCCGCGGUAAAACGUAGGAGGCGAGCGUUAUCCGGAUUUACUGGGCGUAAAGCGCGCGUAGGCGGUCGGUCAAGUCAGAUGUUAAAGCCCCUGGCUCAACUAGGGGAGGUCAUUUGAUACUGUCCGGCUUGAGGGUGAGAGAGGAGAGUGGAAUUCCCGGGGUAGGGGUGGAAUGCGUAGAGAUCGGGAGGACCACCAGUGGCGAAGGCGGCCUUCGGGCCCGUUCCUGACGCUGAGGCGCGAAGGCUAGGGGAGCGAACAGGAUUAGAUACCCCGGUAGU